rnacentral:rRNA from 1 species
GAUGCAGCAGGCGCGAAACCUCUACAAUGCUCGCAAGAGUGAUAGGGGAACUCCGAGUGGCGUCAACUUAGUUGGCGUCUUUUGCCAAGUGUACAAAGCUUGGCGAAUAAGGGUGUGGGAAAGACUGGUGGCAGCCGCCGCGGUAACACCAGCGCCUCGAGUGGUACCCACGAAUACUGGGCCUAAAGCGUCCGUAGCCGGCUUGAUAAGUCCUCUGUGAAAUAGUGGGGCUUAACCCUACUGCGCGCAGGGGAUACUGUUGAGCUUGGGAACGGGGGAGGUCGGGAGUACAUCCGGGGUAGGGGUAAAAUCCGUUGAGCCUGGAUGGACUACCAGUGGCGAAGGCGCCCGGCCAAAACGUGUCCGACGGUGAGGGACGAAAGCUGGGGGAGCGAACGGGAUUAGAUACCCCGGUAGUCCCAGCUGUAAAUGAUGCAGACUGUGGUGUUGCGCCAGAGUUAAUCUGUCGCAGUGCUGUAGCGUAGGUGUUAAGUCUGCCGCCUGGGAGUACGGCCGCUAGAWMKAAACUUAA